UGAUUGACUGCUUUUCUCUGGGGGCGCAACGAGGAGAGAGUGUUUCUGAUUCAGUUUUCCAGAAGAGUUGUAAGAGGCAGUGGGAUGGAAAGGGCCAAGGAAUGAGUGAAUUAGAGGAGUCCGUCUUCUACUAAAGCAGUGGAGGAGGAGAUGAUGGGUCAGCCCUUCCUGGGUGAGGAUGGAGCAUUCCAGCUGCAGUUGCUUGUUGUCAGCAUGACAUGCUCCUUAAGAGAUUUUUCUAUUUACUCUGAAUAUAAACUCUGAAGUUUAUAAAAUGACCCCUUUAGGGUUCAGGAGGUUGGAUUUCAAAGCAAUGUAUAUAGGGGAGGCCUUUUCCAACUGCUCAGGCUAGAUGGUAGAGAUCACUCUCCCAGGAGACAAUCGGUAAUGUCUAUCAUAUUGUGGCAGAUGGCAGCAAGCCCUAGGUUAGGAACCCAACUACGAUGUAUUAGCAAGAGAUACUGGCCACGUGUCCUUCGAUCAGAUUAAUCAGGGACGGAACUACCGCAUAAACAGGUGAGAUUAGCAUUGGCUGAGAGGCUGGCAAGGCAAACCUGGGACAUACUCGACUUUGAAUUCAGAAGCACUGCUUAUUUGCAUUCAUUUUCAGAAUUAUAUCUGCAGCACAAAAGGAGCUCCCAGAAGACUGGAUGGGCUUCACAAUGAAUAUGAUGCUUGUGAGCAUGCGGUUUGCUCAGGCUAGGAUGAUUCUGUAACUCCUUGAGUGCACGCCAGUGUACAGCAAGACAGAGACACUGUGGCUUUUUACUUGAUCGCCAGGAUCCUGGUUGUGUUCUGGAGGGUUGAAAUUGCCAGAAAUCUAGCUACCUCUUAAAAAGGAUGUUAUAUUUUUUGAAACCUCUAGCAAGUAUUCUCAGUAUGGCUACUGUAAAAGGUCCAAAUAUACACAGGCUGAAACAUAUGCAAAUAUAUUUAUUGACCUUCUAGUUGGAGGACACUGGUCCAAGGCUGCCGCACUCAUUCACGUUGUGGUGGCUUCUUCAUCUGAUAUCACAGAUUUAUCACUGAUCCCUCGAGAAAUAAAGGGCACCUCCCACCUCCCUUCUCACACCUGUGGAUCUUGAGAUGUUUUGUCAGUUCCUUCUCUUACCAUGGCCUAACCUCAAACUACUUAUGGUUGAUGCUAUACAUGGCAACAUACAAAAGAAUAAACAUUGUGUGUAGGAGGCCAUCUUUCUGGAAGAUUCCUUUAUUCAAGGACACUCGUUUUUCUAAAUGUUUAGAAAUCAUUUCCUAAAUUCUAACAAUGCGCCCUGAGUGAGGGUAGUUCAGGAAGUGGAGGCCAUAACCGUAUGUUGCCUUCCAGCUCCCACCUUCCUUCUUCCCUCCCACCACCAUCCUGGGCUUCUUGCAUGUAAACUCGCUCUGCUUGGAGUUGGAUGCGGCACAGCACUAAUUCCCUGGAAGAUGUGCUCUGGGCCUCUGGGAACACAUACUCUAUGACAGAUGGCGGCAAACUAAACCAGCAAUUGAAAAAGGACCUCUGUUAGAGGAGCCAUUCCAGAGGGGGAGAGGCAGGGAAGACAAAUCGCUGGAAAGUGGCCAGAACCAUUUGGUGCUCGACAUCAAUCUGAUCAAUAAACACUUCCUGAACACCUAGAUAGAAGAACCUAUUCCAGAUUCCAUAGGCACACACAAAGAUCAGAGAGGCCAACAUUCUGUCCUGUGUUUAGGAAGACGGACAGCACACGGAGAGGUGCAUGGACAAUUCUAGGCUGGCAGAAGUCUGAAGAAAGGCUUAUGUAAGGUUGAGCUGAAAAUUAUAGCCACCACACAAUAAUAUGAUAAUGCAUGUUGAUGGCUAUGUCCUGGAUGAUAUGCAGACAGUGGGAGAAACAAAAUUCUGGGGUUUUGGAAGGGAUACCGGGCAGUGCCCUCAAUUUAAAGAUGAGGAAACUGAAGCCCCUUCUCCACGACUUGAAGUGGUUUCUUCAAGAUCAAGGUCACUCAGUUGUUGGGAACCCUAUGAUUAACAGUACUACGACUAGGAGUACCAAUAAUAGUACUAGUGAUAGUACUAACUGCUGUUAUUGGCUAAGAUUAUAGAGCACUUAUGUGUGCCAGCCACUAUCCUAAGUGCUUUAAGUGUAUUAACUAAUUUAAUACAGCAGGUUAUGUUAUUUUCACCCCUGAAAUGGUAUUCUCACACAUGGGAAAACUGAGGCAGAAGAGUACCAGUACCUUGCCCAAAGUUCAGCCAGUAAGUGGUAGAACUGAGAUGCACAUGCCACAGUUGGGCUCCAGAGCUUGUGCUCUUAAUUUCUCAUGGCCCCUCAGGCCUCUGACUCCUGGUCCAGUGCUCCUUGUCCUUGGACUGGGCAUUGUCAGUGAGGUGAGGUGGCACUGAAUGAGGGAGUGACAUGACAAAAGUGAUAUUUAAGAUUACUGGUAUGGCUUCAGUAGUCUACAGUCUACAUACUGUAGACUAGAGAAGAAAUGGAGAAGGAACAGCAGAGAGAGGAGUGUCUAAAUAUACUUGUGAUGAGUGUUUGGACCACGGCAGGAAUAGAGAAGAUUACACUGGACAGGAAUGGUUGGUUAGCAGUCAUUCACUCUGUAGUAUGAAUCAGUCUGUCCUGUUGCUUAUCCUUCUAGAAAUCAGAACUCUAUGACUGUAGAAGGAAGGAGUGGAGAGAGGGUACAGCAAAGGGAAAGGGCAAAGGAACAAGAGCAGAAAUGGGACAGAUACUCAUGACUUCCCCAUAUUCCUCACAGAGGUCCUGAUCUUUGGGGGGUGGUUCAGCGUACUUUAGGUAAAUGUCCAUUGCUCAUUAAAUGAGGUAAAGAAGGAAGAGAACAAAAAACAAAACAGAGAACAAGAAAGAUGCCAUCUCUUAGUGGGAAGGAGACCUUAGCUAGUGGGUAAAGAUCACAUUAAGAGCCCAGCAUGGUUUUGCAGAUUGGAGUCUCGCUCAGGGAAAGACCCAUCUCACUGUCCUGGCAGACAGCCUUCAGCUGUGGAGAGCCUCCUUGUCCAAGGUCCUGGCCUUCCCCACGUGCCCCACAUCCAAUGACUGGCUGAUGCAAGGGCAUAAAGGCCAGGACAGAGGUUCAGCAAAGGGGGCCACGGUAGGCCGGGGAGAGGACCCCACAAAGGAUCACUGGCUGUGCGAAUAUGUUCAUGGAAUGAGGUGUGACUAGAUUUCUCAAGAUAAAACUCUCAUCAGUGAGUUUCUUUGAUAAAGAGAAGCAAGAACUGUACUUUGAGAGGAAGAGAACAGACAGUGAAUAGCUGUUUGAAUUCAUGGUAAACUGGACAGAGGAGGCCAGAAGACAGAGACUCUUCUGGAUGCUUCUGAUUGGUUCUAAGAAUAACUGCCUGCGUGUGGAGUCCAGCAUUUAAGGGGCUCAGCCCAUAUUUGAAUGCAGAGCUCUCCUUCCGUCUCAGAGUAGCAUUUCCAUUGGCAUGCUGCUGCAUAGGCUCAAAUGCAGGACGUGAGCAGUUUCCCAACUAUCCACCAGAUGGUACCUUCCUACCAGAAAUUAGGUUUCAGGUUGUGGAACUCCACAGUGUUUUUCUACCCCGCAGACCGGCUGCAGAAUCAGACUCCUGCCCUGGCUACUGUGAAAGGAAAGGAAGCUGAUGAGAACACGUCUCAGGGUGGGAGCGCUGAAGGGCCGGGUGGGGGCGACUACAGUGUUUUUAUUUUCACGAAUAUGGGACUGAAGCCGAAGCGUCCUUUUUGUGAUGGGGAGAGCCACGUGCAGAUAUGUGGAAUCGAGUCCUAGAGAAGUCUCCCAGGGAAGACAGGACUGUGAGUUCAGCUCCCGAUAGGCCUGGUCGUAAAAGUCCUCGGUGCCGCCUUGGUGGUGGUCCUGCAGAGUCGGCUCCGCGCUGCUGAGUGCUCUGAAAUGUAGCCAGUUGUCCCAUAAAAGAAAGCCUCUGUUGGAGACGCUUGCUCAUUGUUGAACAGUUUGGGUUCUGAGGCCUGAGCAGCAGCCUCCCCGGGGUGCUUAGUGUCCUUGGAAUGGGAAGGCAACUGGUCUUUACUGCAGGGUGACAACCGUGUCCAGGUUUGUCUGGUACUUUGCUCCUCCUGGCACCGGGGUGGUUGGUCAUCCUGCCUGCCUGGAACAGUACACACCAGGGACUGGGCUAGACCUUCACACACACGCAGUGAGCUGGGGGAUUUGGGGCGGCGCAAUAAUAUUUUCAAAUUAUGAAUCAUUUCGUCGCUGUUGUUUUCCUACCAGAUUCCUGUGUCCCCUUUCGCCAGCGAGACUUAACGUCAGGGAAGGCAACAUUCUGGAGGAAAGGGGUCUUCUCUUGGUUUCUGAGUUUCAGAAGUUUAGGCCGUAGCUGAUAGAUUUGGGAGAAGAUGUGGUAAAUAAAUGCAAUUUCCUCAGGUUGGGGAGAGAGGAGAGAGUGGCUGGGGUGAUGAGAGAUCAGGCCUCUGAGCAGGGAGACACGUUGACUCUCAUCUGCUUUCUGCCAACUGCCCUGGCAAGGAUGGGUAUGUGCGCUCUCAGGGUGAGGGCCCUGAGCCCCCUUGGCUGGGGGUGGGGAGCAGAGGAGGGGUGUACAGACCUCAGAGAGGAGAGGAUUGUGUUCUCACCCUGGAGCAAAGGGCCAGAGAGCUCCCGGGGCCUCGGAGAGGCGCAGAGACAGCAGGGGAAAUCUGUAGUCUUGCAGGUACCUCUCAGAGAGUGGACUGCAGCAUAGUGCCCCUCCAGACUUGUGUCCACCUGGGGCUUCACCACACGGCCGGAUUUGGUAAAGAUAUCGUCAAGUUAAGAUGACGUCAUCCUGGAUUCGGGUGGGCCCUGAUGCGAUGCUUUAAUGUCCUUAUAAGAAAAGGGAAAUGUGGACCCAGAGCUGCACACACAGAGGGAAGGUGCCCUGUGAAGAUGGUAGCGGGGCCUAGGAACGCCCAGGACUGCCAGGAGUGACAAAGAGGCCAGGAAGGAUCCUGUCCCAGAGCCUUUGGAAGGAGCCCGGCCCUGCUGACACCUCGAUUUCAGACUUCCAGCCUCCACAACUGUGGGAGGAUAAAUGCCUGAAGUCCCCUGAACUGGCCACACACAUCUGCAUUCUGGAAUCAGAGAUAAGACAUGAGAGGCAAGAUUUCUGGAAGGGAAAGGGAGCGAUUUACAUUCUCACCGAGGUCUGAGUGGCUGCUAGCAGAUUCUUUCCCAAGAACAGGUUUCAACUUGGAGGAGGAGGUUGGGCAGGGAGAGAGCAGGGGUACCCUGAGCUGGCUCGCUGGCCAGGGUAGGGGUGAGCAGGAAAAAAGGAGCAAUGGGUGGCAGAAACAGGGCCUGAGGACCCAAAGGUGAAGUUCAUCUACUUCCUUUUUUUUUUUUUUUGUUAUGGGCCCUGUCUGAUUCUGACAUUCAACACUAAGGAAUCUCCCAACUGUUGAUUUCACAAACCUAAAAAACCAUUUACUGAAAGCAUUCUGGAACACCGGAAAGGUUGCCACUAUUAUUUGGUUAAAUAAGGAUGUAAAAAAUAAACAAAACAAAAACCCUAUCACAUAAAAGAAAGGAUGUUUUAACGGUAAAAAAUUGGGAAAGAAAAUCUCAGAAUAAAGGACAGUCCUUUUAAAUUGGAUGAAUAUAGCUUUAAAGGAAUAGAAAAAAUGACUAUCUCCCUCUUCUGUGGGUCCAGGAAAAUGUUGGCAGAGACCAGUAUCCCAGUAACCAACUGGUUUAUAAGAAUCACAUCCACCCUGAUUCUGAAGGCCCCACCAGUUUAUAGUUCAUGACACUAUGCUGCCCCCUGGUGGCCAAAAGGAGUUGCUGUAGCGGCUAAAGCGGGGCGGGGGUCUCAAAAUACACUUAGGGCCUCCUCCCAGCAAUUACUUGUAUGUUCAUUUAACACCCACCAUGUGCCAAGCGGGGGCCAUGUGGGGUGAGGACACAUGGAAAUGAGAGAACCAGGCCCUCGCUCUCAAGGAGCUUUCCUGUAACACUGAUGUGCCAAACAAAAGUUGACAACAAUGUUUGGCUUUGGAUGUUGAAAUGUCGGCUCCCCAGCACCAUCCCCCUGCUUGCCAGAGGCUGCAUCAUGGAACCCAGUCAGCCCCUCAGCGUCAGAGCAGGCCUGUCACUAGGGUCCAGGUGGCCACCUAGAGCUUUAUCUCCAGCCCUGCCCCGAAGCCAGGGCCCGCAUGCGCUGAUGAAGCUGGAAGGUGGCGGGUCCCCCACAGGGCGUUUCUGCUCUCAGCUAGCUCUUCAGCAGUCUCACUCCUACCUAUUAGGCCACCCCUGGGGCAGGCAAGCCUACAUUUUCCAUGAAGUCCUUCCAUGCCUACUCCAAACCCACGAGGACCUCUAUGACCUCAAGAUUCCUCUCUACCAUCGUUUCCUCUUAGUUUUAUUUUUCAAGUAGACAAAAAAGUCCCUAAUGGUUGAGGCUCUGUUUUAACAGUUUUCUAGCCAUCUCCCCUUCCCAGAGUACAUCCUGAAGCUCUCAGUUUUCUCCUUUAAUAUGCAGAGAAGCUCCCUACCUCCUUUCACAUAUUAGGGCUACACUUACGCCUCAUCAAAAUAUUUUUGUAUCAAAAAUGGGAAAUCGUUAAGUCAGUUUAGGCUAAGUUGUUUGGCUGUGACAGACAAUCCCCAAACCUCUACAGCUUAAAAUAACAAAGGUUUAUUUCUUCUUAAUGCUACAUGGCCCGUGUGGAUCAUUUGGGGAUAAGGUUGCCAGAAUUAGCAAGGAAAAAUACAGGACACCCUCAAAUAAUUAGUAAUUUUUUUUUGGAGUAAGUAUGUCCCCCAAAACGCACACUAACAAUUAUUAUCAUUUUCUGAACUUCAAAUUUAACUGGAAAUCCUAUAAUUUAUCUGGCAAUGCUACUUGGGGGCUCUGCUGCUUGUCCCCAUUCUGGACCCAGGCUAACAGUGCCUCUGCUAUUUAACAUCACAGAAAGAAAGGGGAUGUGGCCAUUUGCACACUGGCUCUUGAAGUUUUCUUCUGGAAUAUAUAGCAUUUCCAAUCAUACCUUUUUUUUGUUUUGUUUUGUUUUGUUUUGGUCAAAGUGGGUCAUUUGGUCAUUCCUAACCUCAAAGGGGUUCUGCCAUGUGCUCAGAAUGGGAGAACACCGGGCUAUUUGUGAAAAGCCCAAAUCUCUGCCCCAGUUAUAUAUUCUGGUAACAGCUGCUAAGAAAAUACUACUUUCUCCAUCUUAUUACAAUAAAUUAUAUCAAGUGUAAUCUUUAUUCUUGUGAUUUCUAGCUAAUGGCUUACUAUUGAUUUCUAGUAGCAGAGAAAGCUUUCCUUACCCAUUUAAAUACAUGGAGACAACUAAACGCUCCCUUUCAACUUUUUUUCUCUGCAUUAAAGACCUCCCCAUGCCUCCCGUAUUUUCUUUGGUGUAGUUUCCAACCCUUUACCAUCUGGUCACUGUCUACUUGGUUAUAUCUGACUGCGAAGUGAAUGCGAUGGGAGAAAAACAAAACAAAACAAGAAAAGGUGGUUUCUUGUAGGGAUAAGCCAAAGAUGACGUUUUGUGUAACCCUUUGUUUUUGUUCCCUGUAUGGCCUACAGAAGAUCAGCAGUUUUUCAACCCUCAGCAACAACAGAAUCACCCAGAGAAACAAAUAGCGUUGUGAUUUGCCUUUUGUGCAGCCCUUUUGUUCUGAGAUGACUAGAUGACAUAUUGGGAUGUUGAUGAUUUUGAAUAUGUGUAUGGCUGAGAAGAUCACACCAAUUAAUUUUCAUCCAGAAUUCAAGAAUAGCUGCACCACGGUACAUGGUACACAGUGCACAUUGGUGUGACCAGUGAAGUUUCAAGUGUACAAAGCCAUGAGCAAGUUCAGCACGCUGCCCCAAACACGAAUAUCCCUGUACAAUACACUCCCCUGGGAAUUUGCAUGUUCAAUUUUAUAAUCAAUCAGAAAGCACUUAUUUAUACUGACUGAUGGGAAAGAAGGCUA